CUCUUUCUCUCUCUAAUUUUUCUUGCACUCCGCGACGACUUAUCUUCGUCUCUGCAUAUCAUUAUAUUAUGUUCAUGUGGAUUCAGAAAAAUGAAAGAAAACAAAGUUGAGGAUUUUCAAAAUUGUUCUUGCAAGCAAAAUUUUUGGGGUUUUGUUAUGAUGUUUUGUACAGCCAAAAAGUUUGAUUAUUUUCAAGACGCGAGAAUGGAUGAAAGCUUAAUAGCAUCAAAUAAGCAUGAAAGAGAGAGUGUAUAACUAUCAUCCUUUGCAAAAGGUGACAAAGAUUGAAGAAGGGUCUUCAAAAACGCACAAGACAGUUCAAAGCUCAGCAAUUUAUUGUUCGAGUGUUGAGUCUUUUAGUUUCGACUCUUGAGCGUACUAGAUCACAACAUCGAUUUAAUUCUUUUGUUGUUGUAUAAUCUUUUUGGAGACAAAGAGCAAAAUUUAGACAAUUUUUAGA